GACGAACGCUGGCGGCGUGCUUAACACAUGCAAGUCGAACGGUAAGGCCCUUCGGGGUACACGAGUGGCGAACGGGUGAGUAACACGUGGGUGAUCUGCCCUGCACUUCGGGAUAAGCCUGGGAAACUGGGUCUAAUACCGGAUAGGACCACUGCCUGCAUGGGUGGUGGUGGAAAGCUUUUGCGGUGUGGGAUGGGCCCGCGGCCUAUCAGGUUGUUGGUGGGGUGAUGGCCUACCAAGGCGACAACGGGUAGCCGGCCUGAGAGGGUGACCGGCCACACUGGGACUGAGAUACGGCCCAGACUCCUACGGGAGGCAGCAGUGGGGAAUAUUGCACAAUGGGCGCAAGCCUGAUGCAGCGACGCCGCGUGAGGGAUGACGGCCUUCGGGUUGUAAACCUCUUUCAGCACAGACGAAGCGCAAGUGACGGUAUGUGCAGAAGAAGGACCGGCCAACUACGUGCCAGCCGCCGCAGUAA
rnacentral:rRNA from 1 species